rnacentral:rRNA from 1 species
AUUGAACGCUGGCGGAAUGCUUUACACAUGCAAGUCGAACGGCAGCACGGACUUCGGUCUGGUGGCGAGUGGCGAACGGGUGAGUAAUGUAUCGGAACGUGCCCAGUCGUGGGGGAUAACGUAGUGAAAAUUACGCUAAUACCGCAUCCGAUCUAUGGAUGAAAGCGGGGGAUCGCAAGACCUCGCGCGAUUGGAGCGGCCGAUAUCAGAUUAGGUAGUUGGUGGGGUAAAGGCCGUCCAAGCCAACGAUCUGUAGCUGGUCUGAGAGGCCGACCAGCCACACUGGGACAGAGACACGGUCCAGACUCCUACGGGAGGCAGCAGUGGGGAAUUUUGGACAAUGGGCGAAAGCCUGAUCCAGCCAUUCCGCGUGCAGGAUGAAGGCCCUCGGGUUGUAAACUGCUUUUGUACAGAACGAAAAGGUUUCUACUAAUACUAGGAGCUCAUGACGGUACUGUAAGAAUAAGCACCGGCUAACUACGUGCCAGCAGCCGCCGUAA